rnacentral:rRNA from 1 species
AUUGAACGCUGGCGGCAGGCCUAACACAUGCAAGUCGAGCGGAUGAAGGGAGCUUGCUCCUGGAUUCAGCGGCGGACGGGUGAGUAAUGCCUAGGAAUCUGCCUGGUAGUGGGGGAUAACGUCCGAAACGGGCGCUAAUACCGCAUACGUCCUGAGGGAGAAAGUGGGGGAUCUUCGGACCUCACGCUCUCAGAUGAGCCUAGGUCGGAUUAGCUAGUUGGUGGGGUAAAGGCCUACCAAGGCGACGAUCCGUAACUGGUCUGAGAGGAUGAUCAGUCACACUGGAACUGAGACACGGUCCAGACUCCUACGGGAGGCAGCAGUGGGGAAUAUUGGACAAUGGGCGAAAGCCUGAUCCAGCCAUGCCGCGUGUGUGAAGAAGGUCUUCGGAUUGUAAAGCACUUUAAGUUGGGAGGAAGGGCAGUAAGUUAAUACCUUGCUGUUUUGACGUUACCAACAGAAUAAGCACCGGCUAACUUCGUG